rnacentral:rRNA from 1 species
GACGUAGGAUGCGAGCGUUGUCCGGAUUUAUUGGGCGUAAAGAGUUCGUAGGCGGUUCGUUAAGUCUGAUGUUAAAGACUGGGGCUCAACCCUGGAACUGCAUUGGAUACUGGCGGACUGGAGUGCAGUAGAGGCGAGUGGAAUUCCCAGUGUAGCGGUGAAAUGCGUAGAUAUUGGGAAGAACACCGGUGGCGUAAGCGACUCGCUGGGCUGUAACUGACGCUGAGGAACGAAAGCUAGGGGAGCAAAUGGG